CGGGAAACUGUGGAUAAUACCGGAUAUAUGGAGAUGCCUGGAAUGGUACUCCACUUAAAGCUCCGGCGCCUAAGGAUGGAUCUGCGGCAGAUUAGGUCGUUGGUGGGGUAAUGGCCCACCAAGCCUAUAAUCUGUACGGGUUGUGAGAGCAAGAGCCCGGAGAUGGAACCUGAGACAAGGUUCCAGGCCCUACGGGGCGCAGCAGUCGCGAAACCUCCGCAAUGCGCGCAAUCGCGACGGGGGGACCCCAAGUGCCACUCGUAACGGGGUGGCUUUUCUUAAGUGUAAAAAGCUCUUGGAAUAAGGGCUGGGCAAGACCGGUGCCAGCCGCCGAGGUAACA
rnacentral:rRNA from 1 species